GGCAAGGACUGAAGACCGGGUCCCCAGCUCGAAAUGAUGCGGCGGGUUUUGAAAGGGGCUUCAGAGCCCGGUUCUUAAGUCCUCAGUGCUUCGCUAAAUUCGUUAAAUGACCAUUCCUCUCUGCUGUUUAAACUGCUCUUUGGCAGGAAGGCGCGCAGCCUCCCGUUAUGUUUUGGGAAGAUUUCGUCCUAAGAGUACUCCAUGAUGUAAAUGGCAUAAUCUUUUAGAUCAAAACAAAUCAGUGUACACCCUUAGAAUGCAUUAAUGCCAUUCACAAAUGGGAAUACAACAGCUGUCUUCAAAUCUAUUUGACGGCUUUUGCCAAAGUAAGAUGACAAAAGAGAAGACACAUACAUACACCUUGCAAGCGUCUGUCUUCACUGAUGGUACUGCUGCUUAGAAGACCACAGCCGUAGAGUAAUUUAUGCAUUCAUGAAAGGCAGUUGGCCUGUUCCUCUGGGACUGAAAAUGUCACCUCUGCUAGACCAGGGCCUGGAAUUUCAACUGCAUUCUUGAACUUGUGUUGCCCAGUUACUAUUGAGUAUUUUAAUCUAAGAAGAAAUAAAUGA